CUGGGAUAACACCUGGAAACAGAUGCUAAUAACGGAUAACAACACUAGACGCAUGUCUAGAGUUUAAAAGAUGGUUCUGCUAUCACUAUUGGAUGGACCUGCGGUGCAUUAGCUAGUUGGUAAGGCAACGGCUUACCAAGGCAAUGAUGCAUAGCCGAGUUGAGAGACUGAUAGGCCACAUUGGGACUGAGACACGGCCCAAACUCCUACGGGAGGCAGCAGAC
rnacentral:rRNA from 1 species